rnacentral:rRNA from 1 species
UACGUAGGGUGCAAGCGUUGUCCGGAAUUAUUGGGCGUAAAGAGCUCGUAGGCGGUUUGUCGCGUCUGCCGUGAAAGUCCGGGGCUCAACUCCGGAUCUGCGGUGGGUACGGGCAGACUAGAGUGAUGUAGGGGAGACUGGAAUUCCUGGUGUAGCGGUGAAAUGCGCAGAUAUCAGGAGGAACACCGAUGGCGAAGGCGACUUCCUGGCCCUCAACUGACGCUGAAGCGCGAAAGCAUGGGGAGCGAACGGG